GGGUUGUGAGGUUAAGCGACUAAGCGUACACGGUGGAUGCCCUGGCAGUCAGAGGCGAUGAAGGGCGUACUAAUCUGCGAUAAGCGCCGGUAAGGUGAUAUGAACCGUUAUAACCGGCGAUACCCGAAUGGGGAAACCCAGUGUGAUUCGUCACACUAUCAUUAACUGAAUCCAUAGGUUAAUGAGGCGAACCGGGGGAACUGAAACAUCUAAGUACCCCGAGGAAAAGAAAUCAACCGAGAUUCCCCCAGUAGCGGCGAGCGAACGGGGAGGAGCCCAGAGCCUGAAUCAGCAUGUGUGUUAGUGGAAGCGUCUGGAAAGGCGCGCGAUACAGGGUGACAGCCCCGUACACAAAAGCGCAUGUGCUGUGAGCUCGAUGAGUAGGGCGGGACACGUGGUAUCCUGUCUGAAUAUGGGGGGACCAUCCUCCAAGGCUAAAUACUCCUGACUGACCGAUAGUGAACCAGUACCGUGAGGGAAAGGCGAAAAGAACCCCGGCGAGGGGAGUGAAAAAGAACCUGAAACCGUGUACGUACAAGCAGUGGGAGCCCCACCACCAAAGCAUUUGCUGUACCGCGUUGACGGAGCGAAGCGACGUCAAACCGAUAAAACAGCAGUGUAAAGUGAGCCGCAGGGCGCUUUGCGCGACAGCGCAAAGGCAGGCGGUUUCGCGUAGCGAAAGCGAAUGCUUUGGGGUGGGGUGACUGCGUACCUUUUGUAUAAUGGGUCAGCGACUUAUAUUCUGUAGCAAGGUUAACCGAAUAGGGGAGCCGGAGGGAAACCGAGUCUUAAUUGGGCGUUAAGUUGCAGGGUAUAGACCCGAAACCCGGUGAUCUAGCCAUGGGCAGGUUGAAGGUUGGGUAACACUAACUGGAGGACCGAACCGACUAAUGUUGAAAAAUUAGCGGAUGACCUGUGGCUGGGGGUGAAAGGCCAAUCAAACCGGGAGAUAGCUGGUUCUCCCCGAAAGCUAUUUAGGUAGCGCCUCGUGAAUUCAUCUCCGGGGGUAGAGCACUGUUUCGGCUAGGGGGCCAUCCCGGCUUACCAACCCGAUGCAAACUGCGAAUACCGGAGAAUGUUAUCACGGGAGACACACGGCGGGUGCUAACGUCCGUCGUGAAGAGGGAAACAACCCAGACCGCCAGCUAAGGUCCCAAAGUCAUGGUUAAGUGGGAAACGAUGUGGGAAGGCCCAGACAGCCAGGAUGUUGGCUUAGAAGCAGCCAUCAUUUAAAGAAAGCGUAAUAGCUCACUGGUCGAGUCGGCCUGCGCGGAAGAUGUAACGGGGCUAAACCAUGCACCGAAGCUGCGGCAGCGACACUGUGUGUUGUUGGGUAGGGGAGCGUUCUGUAAGCCUGUGAAGGUGUGUCGUGAGGCAUGCUGGAGGUAUCAGAAGUGCGAAUGCUGACAUAAGUAACGAUAAAGCGGGUGAAAAGCCCGCUCGCCGGAAGACCAAGGGUUCCUGUCCAACGUUAAUCGGGGCAGGGUGAGUCGACCCCUAAGGCGAGGCCGAAAGGCGUAGUCGAUGGGAAACGGGUUAAUAUUCCCGUACUUGGUGUUACUGCGAAGGGGGGACGGAGAAGGCUAUGUUGGCCGGGCGACGGUUGUCCCGGUUUAAGCGUGUAGGUGUGUGUUCCAGGUAAAUCCGGUUCACUUUAACACUGAGGCGUGACGACGAGGCACUACGGUGCUGAAGCAACAAAUGCCCUGCUUCCAGGAAAAGCCUCUAAGCAUCAGGUAACAUCAAAUCGUACCCCAAACCGACACAGGUGGUCAGGUAGAGAAUACCAAGGCGCUUGAGAGAACUCGGGUGAAGGAACUAGGCAAAAUGGUGCCGUAACUUCGGGAGAAGGCACGCUGACACGUAGGUGAAGUGAUUUACUCAUGGAGCUGAAGUCAGUCGAAGAUACCAGCUGGCUGCAACUGUUUAUUAAAAACACAGCACUGUGCAAACACGAAAGUGGACGUAUACGGUGUGACGCCUGCCCGGUGCCGGAAGGUUAAUUGAUGGGGUCAGCGCAAGCGAAGCUCCUGAUCGAAGCCCCGGUAAACGGCGGCCGUAACUAUAACGGUCCUAAGGUAGCGAAAUUCCUUGUCGGGUAAGUUCCGACCUGCACGAAUGGCGUAAUGAUGGCCAGGCUGUCUCCACCCGAGACUCAGUGAAAUUGAACUCGCUGUGAAGAUGCAGUGUACCCGCGGCAAGACGGAAAGACCCCGUGAACCUUUACUAUAGCUUGACACUGAACAUUGAGCCUUGAUGUGUAGGAUAGGUGGGAGGCUUUGAAGUGUGGACGCCAGUCUGCAUGGAGCCGACCUUGAAAUACCACCCUUUAAUGUUUGAUGUUCUAACGUGGACCCGUUACCCGGGUUGCGGACAGUGUCUGGUGGGUAGUUUGACUGGGGCGGUCUCCUCCUAAAGAGUAACGGAGGAGCACGAAGGUUGGCUAAUCCUGGUCGGACAUCAGGAGGUUAGUGCAAUGGCAUAAGCCAGCUUGACUGCGAGCGUGACGGCGCGAGCAGGUGCGAAAGCAGGUCAUAGUGAUCCGGUGGUUCUGAAUGGAAGGGCCAUCGCUCAACGGAUAAAAGGUACUCCGGGGAUAACAGGCUGAUACCGCCCAAGAGUUCAUAUCGACGGCGGUGUUUGGCACCUCGAUGUCGGCUCAUCACAUCCUGGGGCUGAAGUAGGUCCCAAGGGUAUGGCUGUUCGCCAUUUAAAGUGGUACGCGAGCUGGGUUUAGAACGUCGUGAGACAGUUCGGUCCCUAUCUGCCGUGGGCGCUGGAGAACUGAGGGGGGCUGCUCCUAGUACGAGAGGACCGGAGUGGACGCAUCACUGGUGUUCGGGUUGUCAUGCCAAUGGCACUGCCCGGUAGCUAAAUGCGGAAGAGAUAAGUGCUGAAAGCAUCUAAGCACGAAACUUGCCCCGAGAUGAGUUCUCCCUGAGACUUAAAGUCUCCUGAAGGAACGUUGAAGACGACGACGUUGAUAGGCCGGGUGUGUAAGCGCAGCGAUGCGUUGAGCUAACCGGUACUAAUGAACCGUGAGGCUUAACCUUACAACGCCGAAG
rnacentral:rRNA from 2 species